rnacentral:lncRNA from 1 species
UUAAGAGUAUGCAACACUUAGAUUAAUUACAUACAAGACAAUAAAAUAAAGACUAAGACAUAAAGAACUUAUGGACAUUGUCCUCGAAUCGAUGAAGACUCACAACUACAUCAUCUUCAAAGUUGUAUCAACAUAUCCAUCCUCUUUGGCACAUAAAGACUUCCAAUUCCCUACACUUUAGUCAAAAAGGGAAACGAAGGGGUUAGCACAUUAGAUGUAUUAAGUAUGGAAGCAAUGCAAAAACCAUAAAAAAGGGUCAUUUAGUAAAUAUCAUGUUUUUAUGAAUAUUGAUUAAAACAUAAUACUAUAAGCAUAAGAACAGUAUUUGAGAACUUAGAAACACACAAGAAAUCAUUUAAGCAAAAAGCAACAUUUUAGAAAACAUUACAGUGAAUUCGCUUCACUGUGCAGUUAACUCAAUUCACUAUUACAUUAAAGGUCCUUCACUUUACUUUACACAUCUUCUAGUAUGUAAUUAUCUCACUUAAAGCUAUCCUAAGACUCAUUUAAGUCACACAAAGAUAGACCGCCCAUACAACCUACCUAGGCAUGCUUAAAUAAUCCUAAAGAAUACUUAUGACGAGUCACAUACACACUUACAAGACAUCAACAUAUCAACAUAUAGAUAAUAUGACAUUUCCUCAUACAAGGCUAUCAAAGACUUACUUAAGUAGAUCAAAAAGAUAAUUUCCAUGAUUGACCUCUUCAAGACUACCUAAAUAAUCCUUAAGACUACUUAUUUUUGGGUCAUAUCCACAUAAACAAUUAUCCUCCCUAACUAGAGUCAUUCUUAAGACUUAUCUAGGAAAGAUAAGAAGUGACCAUUCAUAUGCCCCUUCAUGCCAAAACUAGUCAAUCCUUAACUACUCUAGAUAAGUACUGAUUCAUUUUAACAUAAUUUCUUAACUGAAGUCAUUACGUUCAUUAGUUCAUUUAAGACUCAUUCAUCACAUGAAGGACAUUCAAGUAAUGGUCUUCGAUAAGACGUAGGGACUUCAACUAACAUCUUCAAAGCCUAUUGUGCAACGUCAGAUAGCGUCUCAUACCACACCCUAAACUUCAUAGAACUUCUCUAAUGCUAGUAGGUAUCCUAUAUGAUGAUAAUGGGAAAUAACCGACAUAGACCAUGGUAGCAAAACUUGGAAUCCGGAGUUCUAACUUACUCCGAUUAGGGUGUUCUACUUGCCAAUGGUAGAACUAGGACACACCCCAUGUAGGCACAUGGUUAAGGAAUGUAAAGGGUGUACUUUGUAUUCUAGUCUCAUUCUGAACUAGAAGUACUUCCCUUACCAUUCUCACUCGGUGCUAGCAUUUUUUCUCAUAGAGAAAUUCGCAUUAAAGGUUCAUACAAUUGCAUUCCAUAUCUAGUUCAUAACCCAAUAACAUUUAACCUACAAAAGAGGUCCUCUAGAGCCACUUCCAAUGGAGACAAGAACUUUAUGAUGACUUUCCAAAGGAUUAAUAUGAUGUCGUUCCAGCUAAUUAACCUUAAAUCAAACAUUCCUUUACUUAAAGGAUACCAUUACGUCUUUUGACUUCAACAUUCAUAACCUUACCACUAGGUUCAAUAUUUGACAUAAGAUACCCUCUUAACAUCAUUCAAGGUCACAUAUCAUUCAUACAUUCAAGACAAAGAGGAUUUUGCAUCCUAAGUCAUGACAUCACAUAUUCACUUUCAUACAUACAUCAAGCAAGGGAUACAAGUCAACCAAGAGAAAACACCAUGUACUUCACUUGAAAACAUAUUACAUGUCAUUCUUAAGUCACUUAGGAAUAACAAUACUUAGGAACCCUAAGGUAUUUUAAGGAUUUUUGUUGAAGCCAAGAGAGAACAAGAGAGAAACUUAAGAAAUCUGAAAAAAAUUGCAAGUUUAAAAUGGAGCAAAAGAUAUGAUCUUUAUCCCUUUAAAAGGGAGGUGUAAUGGUAGACUUUCUUGGCCAAUUUUAGGCCAUAUAUUUUAAAGUAGGUGACCCACCUACUUGACGUUUUAACUUGGGCCUUUGGGGAUGCAAAACUUGUUGGGCCUUGCUGCAAAUUCAUCCUCUAUCCUUGUGAAUUUUGGUCUCUGCUGUAUCACUUUGACUUUUUCCAAAGAAGGACAAGGAUGAUGAUACCGGUAAGUUAUAGAUUUAUCUCUUUUGUUAUGGUGGGUUACUUUUAAAUGGGGGAGUAUGGCAAGUAGUGGAGUUAUGAUUUUUUGUUUCUUCUCUUCUAUUCAAUUCAAGCUUGAGAGAUAGAAUGUCAUAAAAGCAUGUUGCAUGUUGCAUUUUGUUUAGGAGGCUUGUUGGAAAUGAAUUUCAUUGAUUCCUUGUAUUUUGCACUUCAUGAAGUUACAAUUAUGUUGUAAAAUGGGUUUAUAUGGUUUAAUCUCUCAUAUUGUCCAUCUUCCAUCGGAAACUGCUUAAAUGUUGCAUUAUUGAAUGAUUUAGAAUAAUCCACUGUAGGUUAUGGUAGUUCAUCAUAAGGACUUUUGAAUUUGACUAAAUUCUGUUUUUAUUUAAACUUGUUAUAAUAUGUAUAUAAUUGAUGUGUAUGAGCAUGAUAAUGUGUGGAGAAGGAGUUCUUCCUAUUAGAAAUGAAGAGUGUGAGUCUGAUUGCAUAAUGUUUUAAAAGUAGUUUCUAUCUUCUUAUUGUGUUUAGAGUCUCCUUAUUAUAUGAAAGUUGUGUUCAUGCUAAUUGUGUAUUCUGUAUGGUGUGGUAUAGUUAUGUGUUUCUAGUCUUGAAUUUCUUGUCUCUUGAAUGUGUUUAAAUGAAGCAAGUGUCAUUCAAUGACAAAUGUUGUCGAAGUGGGGGAUAUUGUAACUCCCCUAAAAAUAAAAUAGGUGAAACUAGAGCCUAACACGUGUUUCAUGAGGUUUUAAAAUCCUAAAAUGGUUUAUAAUUAUGUUUAUAGGCAGUGUCUGAAGUUUGGUGAUGUUUGGAGGUCAAACAUCCAAGAAUGUCCAAGACGUUCAAAAGUUUUGCCUUGAGACGUGCUUGUGUGUCCUAGCGUCUUGGCAUAUUUUAUGUGUUUUUUGGUGUUCAUUGAUUUGGUAGGUUCCUAACAUGUAUACGAGAGUAUUUGAGGUGUAAACAUCCUAGUACAACUACCCAAGGACUGCCAUGGGGGUCUUUGAGAAUGACCAAGCCUUGAGUGAGCAAAAUGGCAUUGGUGGAACCACUCUACGUCGUGGACUUGGUUCAUCAAGGGCAAAAAGUUGCUCCGCAUCACGUACUUAUUUCCCAACAAAUGUUUUGGAAAUUUAAGUUGUGUUUGACUUUGUUAAAAGGUCCAAUAAGGGCAGGGGUCUUUUGUGUAUUUUGGGGACUAGUUAUUGGUGGUUAUUAAGACUUUUUAAACCCCAAUUCACCAUUCAAAUCAAAACCCUCAAGUCCUAAACAAAACCUCUCCAACUCAUCUCUCCAAAAACCUCCAUUGAUGAAGAUUUGAAGCUCCAAGGAAGAAGAAUGAUUUUCAAAGAUUUUCUCCAUCAAUUUAAUAGGUUUUUCUUCACAUUUAAGGUAUGGAGUUUCAUCCUUGAAUCCUCUUUAUUCAAGGAGUCAAUUUCAAUUGUUUUCAAAGAUGAUAAAAGAACAUGAAAUCUUGUAUUUUUAAUUCUAGCCAUGGGUUGUUGCAUGAAAUGUUUUCAAUGAAUGAAUAAAUAUUGAAUUGAUGUUAAUUUUAUUAUUUUGGAUCAAAAAGACCACGAACCUAUGCAAAUCAUGAUUUCCUUAUUUUGACUAUUUUAUGGGUGAUCUGAUCAUGUCUCAAUAUUAUUGAAUUCUUAUGUAGAUCGUAUUAGGCUAUUGAUAUAUGUAUGAAUUAUGUUAGAAUUGUAUAUAGGCUGCUUUAAUUUGAGGAUUUUCAUAUUGGAUCUUCUUGGAUCAUUGUAUAUUGUGACUAUUGGAUUGAAUUGGUGACGAUGGGUAUUGGUAAGAAUCUUGGUGUAUUGGCUUGGUUGAAUUGGCUAUGGAUUGGAAUUGUUGAUAUUGAAUUGGUGGUAUGUUGACCUAAACCUUACUUUGUAGUGUAGGUGUUUGAAUUGUAUUGAUUGUUAUUGUCCACUUAUGGUGGCGUUGCUUAUAUGCUAUACUUGUGAAUAAUGUGGUCUCGUCGAAAUCACUUUAUGAAUUAUGAUAUUAUUAUUUUAUAACCUGAAUAUGUGAGGAAUGUGAAGGUCUUGAUGACUUGUAUAUGUGAAGUCAAAGUAUGUGUUCUUCUAAGUUAUUACAUGUGAUCAUCAUUGGCUAUAAUGAUGCCUUGUGUUUCUGUACUUGACUUUGAAGUAUGAAUCUUCCCAGUUGACUAUAUGAUCAUUAGGAUGAGUUAUGUUGAUGAUUCUAUAUAAGUGUGUUGGGUGACUUGCAAGUAUACUAAUUUCUCUCUGUGCUUCUUUAAUGAUAUGUUAUAUGUGAUAAUGGAAAGUAUAUGGUUCUUGUUUUGGUAGACUUGUAUCCCGUACUUGAUACAAGAAGAAUGUGAAUGUGAAUCCUUGACUUAGUAGGCUAAAGAACCUUUGUCAUGAACGUAUAUGUAUGAAUUGAAUAUGAUCUUAAAUAUUGUAAGGAAGGUCAUUUAUGUGGAACCUUUAUGAAAGAAGGUUAUGAUAUCCUUGAAAUUGGAAGUCGUAAUGGUAUCCUUCUUGUGUGAAUGGUGGACUUAGGGUUGAUUGGCUGGAAUGGCAUGAAAUCAUUCAAAGGAAAGUCAUUUAUCUAUCCUCUUAACCAUUGUAAGGCAUUCCUAGGGAACCUUCUUUGUAAGGUGUAGUAUGAUUUGGUCAUGAAAAAGAUAUAGUACCUUCAUAUGCUCCUUUAUUGAAUUGCUCUAUCAGAACAAACGUAGCAGCGAGCGAUUAUGCUAGGUGAGUUUCUCUAGAUUUAUUAUGAGGCUAGAGUACAAAUAAACCCUUAAUAUUCCUUAACAUGUGCCUACAUGGGUUGUGUCCUAGUUCUACCAAUUGUAAGUAGAAUACCUUUUAUCGGAGUAGGGUUGACUCUGGAUUCCAUGCCUAACUAGUAUGGUCUAUGUCGGUUAUUGCCUAUUCUUAUCAUGUGGAAUAUAUGAUAGUAUUGGAUAAUUACUAUGAAGUUUACAUAGUGAAAUGAGACGCUAGGUAGACAUUGCACGACUAGGCUUUGAAGAUAUUAGUGUAUGAGUUCCCUAGGUCUUCUCCAAGACCAUUUUGUGAAAGUCCUUAAUUGUUGAAUGUCUUUUAAAUGAUAUAAUGACUUAAAUAAAGGUAUGUUAAUGAAAAAUUAUCUAUAUAGAUUAGCUUUGAGGAUUUCUUAGGUACGCUUGGAGAGGGUGUAUGGGCGCUCUCUCCAUGUCUUACUUAGGUGACUCUUAUAGUAAUUCUAGGUACGGAGUCUAAUUAUGAAAUGGGAAUAAUCUUAUCUUCUAUAGUCUAAAGGAUCGCUUAUGUGUGUGUGAAGGGAUUGUAUGGGAGGUCGCUUCAUAACUCACUCAAGUGAGCCUUAGGAUCACCUUUGGUAGGAUGGUCUCAUGUUUAUGAGUUUCUAAUGUAUUCUUUAUGUUAUAUUGUGGAUUGUGACUUAUAUGUGAAGUUGGUAUUAUAUGUGGUUCGUAUAAUUAUGAUACGAAAUUUUUCUCAAAAAGACCAUAUUUUAUUCAAAUGUUCCUUUCAUCAUAUUUUACGCACUACGCGAUACUUAGUAUAUGCAAUGUACUAAUUCCAUAAAUUUUUCUAUCUCUAAAGGUAUUGGUGGUAUUUAAGAGGAGUACGUGAAGUGAAGCUUUGAUACUAUCCUUUGAUUCAAACAAGUGUUGGAAUUUCCUCACUAGAUUCAAGGACAUCAUGAUGUUUAGAUUUCCUUCUUAAAAGCAUUGCAAUAGACUUAGUAUUUCUAUAUCGUAUUGUAUGGGCCGUGUCCCAUGAUGUUUGUGUGUCUAUGAUAGCGACAUUGAGACUUAUCCUUAAUCAUUAUGUUUUCUAUGAAAGAUAUUUUGAUAUAUUAUUCGUGCAAAGAAUUUAAAUUUCAUGCUGCUUUUCACACAUAUAUGCAAUGAAUUAUGUCUAAGGGAUUGUAAAAGACCUCCGAAAGGUCAAGUACGUCGUAUGACGACUCAAUAGUGCCAUAAAUUUUAUUGGGUACUUAGGCUUGUUACAGCGAUCACAAACAGUUACAAUGCAAGUACAAUAAACCCUUCUAGCUAUAAUAGACUCACCAAUCAGUGUAGACACUUCAAAUGGAUUCACUAAUAAUUUUGGUGUUCUUUUGAACUUUUUACCAAUCAAUGGAGUAACAUAUCAUAGUGUAAACCGCGUAUCAACUAAUACAUAUACAAUAUGUGAAAAGAUGGACAAUGUAACUAUAACCACAUCUGACGAGGUUUCUGAAUUCUGUCGAUCCACUAGUGAAUAUGUGUGAUUCUGAACUCCACUAGAACUAGUAUCUCCCCUAGGUCCUCCACCGAGACAUGUAUUAUAUUUAGUCCUCUACCUAAAUAAAGCGUUGAUGAGGUCGAUGCAACAACAGAUCUAGUCAGUUGUGCAACACCACCCAUGCCCCUAUGAGGGCAGGUUCUCAUCAUAUGCCCUGGUGUGCCACACCAAAAACAAACAUCUGUACCAAACCUGCAUACACCUAGAUGAUUCCUCCCACAUUGUUUACAAGGUUGUCAAGGAGUCCUUCAUUGGGUCGUAAUUCCCUGCUCUUGAUGAUCAGCUAUUUUUGAACGUUGGCUUUCACUUCUUUUCCCAAACUGAUUGCCCCUAAACCUUUGGAACCGUAGUGGAGGACUAGCUAUAGAUUAGAAAGAUGAUGGCUAGGAGGUAUGUUAAAGAACCGAGGCCUAAACUCACCUUGGAUUAGGGUAAAAUCUCCCAUGGAUCAGGCCCUCUUAGAAUGCCCUAUUUCCGACUCUUGUGUCCUUCUUCAUUGCCUUUGAUCCUCCAACUUUUGUGCAAAAACAUGCAUCCUUGCUAUAUCCAUAUCUUUUUUUUUCAACGAAGCAAUGAUACAGUCUAUAACUAGAUAUGAAUCAAUCUAUCCACAUAUCUAUGAAUUUUACCCUCCAUAAUACGUACUACAUUAGGAGCAUACUUGGCCAAGGAAUUAAAUUUGAGACUGGACUCUCUCACACUCAUAUUUCCUUGGUGGAGAUUGAAGAACUGCUUUGCACGUGUAUCUUGGAUCUCCAAUGGCAAAUAACGGUCAAGAAAUGCUUUUUUAAAUUUUUCCAUCAUUUGUUCCCAUAGAUUUCUUCCAAGCUUCAUACAACAAUAUGGCCACACCCUUUAAUCUAUAUGCAGCUAGCUCAAGUACUUCUUUACCACUUACAUAUAUAAUAUCAAAAGUGUGUUUGAUCUAAUCUAUAAAGUCUUAUGGAUCUUCAUUAGGAACUAAGCCGGUGAAUGAUGGAGGGUCCAUGUUAAGAAAAAUAGGUUUCCGCGUUCUAGCUUUUCAAUCUAAACCACUAGUACCUACAACUGGAUUUUCUUUCCUUUGGCCAUGACCAGCGACUAUACGAGUCAAUAAUUGGACUAUAUUCCUCAAAUCUUACUCGGUAGCAUUAAUAGGGGGUUCCUGAGGUUCAACUUCCCUAUUUAAUUCUUCAGGAGAUGGAGGCGUCAGGGAAGUCUGUGAUAGAGACUCAUCUCAAGCCUCUCUUUGUACAACUUGACUAGGUAGUGGUUGGCUGGUUCCUUCUUGGGCUUCCAUAUCUACUCUCUUACCAGUGCCUUAACUGUCUCUCUCAAUCAACAUCAUUGCUAUAGUAAAACAAUUUAGAAAUUAAAUAUAAUUCACCUACGAAAUCGGUUCUAUCGCACGAUCUAUGAAAUGAAAGAAAUGAGACAACUCCUACAUUUCUCCUAGCCUCUUGUUUAUAAAUGUAGUGCACAAAACACACAUAAGAAAGACUCUACACACACACGACUUAGUAGACUCCUCCGGAUGACUUGCUUUGUUACCGCUUAUGUAACGCCUCAAAUCCCAUUAAGACGUACAUGAGCGCGAUGCCCUAAAGGCAAGAGACAACCAACCUGUCACUUCUGCUUACUAUGCAUGUAACUACAACAAUCGUGAGACAAGUUCACAUAGGAUGUAGCGAUAUGAACCAACAUAAGUAGACCCAAAACUUAUAUACAAGACUUGGUUGUUGGGGCCACAACUCUUUAAGACGCAAUUGAACGUAUACAUAUGUCCCCAAAACCUCUAAAAUGUAGAAAACCUUAAAAUAGGUUGGGACAGAUCCCGCCCCCUUAAUUAUGAUACAAUACAAAAUAGAAUUUAGAAAGCACUUAGUAAAGCUCUGAAUAACCUUGGAGCUCACCAAAAGUAGCUGGGUGUCGUCUACUCCUACUGAGGAGGUCUACUAGCUGGAGUACCU